rnacentral:rRNA from 1 species
GACGAACGCUGGCUGCGUGCUUAACACAUGCAAGUCGAACGGAAAGGCCCUGCUUUUGUGGGGUGCUCGAGUGGCGAACGGGUGAGUAACACGUGAGUAACCUGCCCUUGACUUUGGGAUAACUUCAGGAAACUGGGGCUAAUACCGGAUAGGAGCUCCUGCUGCAUGGUGGGGGUUGGAAAGUUUCGGCGGUUGGGGAUGGACUCGCGGCUUAUCAGCUUGUUGGUGGGGUAGUGGCUUACCAAGGCUUUGACGGGUAGCCGGCCUGAGAGGGUGACCGGCCACAUUGGGACUGAGAUACGGCCCAGACUCCUACGGGAGGCAGCAGUGGGGAAUAUUGCACAAUGGGCGGAAGCCUGAUGCAGCAACGCCGCGUGCGGGAUGACGGCCCUCGGGUUGUAAACCGCUUUCGCCUGUGACGAAGCGUGAGUGACGGUAAUGGGUAAAGAAGCACCGGCUAACUACGUGCCAGCAGCCGCGGUGAUACGUAGGGUGCGAGCGUUGUCCGGAUUUAUUGGGCGUAAAGGGCUCGUAGGUGGUUGAUCGCGUCGGAAGUGUAAUCUUGGGGCUUAACCCUGAGCGUGCUUUCGAUACGGGUUGACUUGAGGAAGGUAGGGGAGAAUGGAAUUCCUGGUGGAGCGGUGGAAUGCGCAGAUAUCAGGAGGAACACCAGUGGCGAAGGCGGUUCUCUGGGCCUUUCCUGACGCUGAGGAGCGAAAGCGUGGGGAGCGAACAGGCUUAGAUACCCUGGUAGUCCACGCUGUAAACGGUGGGUACUAGGUGUGGGGUCCAUUCCACGGGUUCCGUGCCGUAGCUAACGCUUUAAGUACCCCGCCUGGGGAGUACGGCCGCAAGGCUAAAACUCAAAGGAAUUGACGGGGCCCCGCACAAGCGGCGGAGCAUGCGGAUUAAUUCGAUGCAACGCGUAGAACCUUACCUGGGUUUGACAUGGAUCGGGAGUGCUCAGAGAUGGGUGUGCCUCUUUUGGGGUCGGUUCACAGGUGGUGCAUGGCUGUCGUCAGCUCGUGUCGUGAGAUGUUGGGUUAAGUCCCGCAACGAGCGCAACCCUUGUUCACUGUUGCCAGCACGUUAUGGUGGGGACUCAGUGGAGACCGCCGGGGUCAACUCGGAGGAAGGUGGGGAUGACGUCAAGUCAUCAUGCCCCUUAUGUCCAGGGCUUCACGCAUGCUACAAUGGCUGGUACAGAGAGUGGCGAGCCUGUGAGGGUGAGCGAAUCUCGGAAAGCCGGUCUCAGUUCGGAUUGGGGUCUGCAACUCGACCUCAUGAAGUCGGAGUCGCCAGUAAUCGCAGAUCAGCAACGCUGCGGUGAAUACGUUCCCGGGGCU